GUGGGGAAUCUUAGACAAUGGGCGCAAGCCUGAUCUAGCCAUGCCGCGUGGACGAUGAAGGCCUUAGGGUUGUAAAGUCCUUUCGCUGGGGAAGAUAAUGACGGUACCCAGUAAAGAAGCCCCGGCUAACUCCGUGCCAGCAGCCGCGGUAAUACGGAGGGGGCUAGCGUUGUUCGGAAUUACUGGGCGUAAAGCGCACGUAGGCGGAUUGGAAAGUUGGGGGUGAAAUCCCGGGGCUCAACCCCGGAACUGCCUUCAAAACUCCCAGUCUUGAGUUCGAGAGAGGUGAGUGGAAUUCCGAGUGUAGAGGUGAAAUUCGUAGAUAUUCGGAGGAACACCAGUGGCGAAGGCGGCUCACUGGCUCGAUACUGACGCUGAGGUGCGAAAGCGUGGGGAGCAAACAGGAUUAGAUACCCCUGUAGUCC
rnacentral:rRNA from 1 species